AGCAGCCGCGGUAAUUCCAGCUCCAAUAGCGUAUAUUAAAGUUGUUGCAGUUAAAAAGCUCGUAGUUGAAUUUCGGGGUUAGUAGGUUGGCCAUGCCUCUGGUAUGUACUGGUCUCACUGAUUCCUCCUUCCUGAUGAGCCGUAAUGCCAUUAAUUUGGUGUUGCGGGGAAUUUGGACUGUUACUUUGAAAAAAUUAGAGUGUUUAAAGCAAGCUAACGCUUGAAUACAUUAGCAUGGAAUAAUGAAAUAGGACGUUCGAUCCUAUUUUGUUGGUUUCUAGGAUUGACGUAAUGAUUAAUAGGGAUAGUUGGGGGCAUUAGUAUUCAAUUGUCAGAGGUGAAAUUCUUGGAUUUAUUGAAGACUAACUACUGCGAAAGCAUUUGCCAAGGAUGUUUUCAUUAAUCAAGAACGAAAGUUAGGGGAUCGAAGACGAUCAGAUACCGUCGUAGUCUUAACCAUAAACUAUGCCGACUAGGGAUCGGAUGAUGUUAAUUUUUUAAUGACUCA
rnacentral:rRNA from 1 species